GAGUGUAUAGCUCAGUAGUAGAGCAUUUGCCUAGUAUAUUCAAGGUCCUGGGUUCAAUCCCCAGCACCUCA
rnacentral:tRNA from 1 species